rnacentral:lncRNA from 1 species
GUAACUUUUAAAAGACCUACUGACAUGGUCAGAAGCCAAAACAGAGACUUGGACUGCUGGAUAAAACCCAAGGGGCCACUCAGGCUCUUGUUUCCCAAUGGAAGCACAUUGGUCUCACAAAGGUUAAGUGACUUCAGUUACUGAAUAGCGAAGUGUGGAUGAGACCCUAGGGGCACACUGCGAGGUAGCCCCCGCCCACGAACUCAUCCCACUCCCACGCAGAUCCUCUCCAGGAGCUCCACCAGAAAAUUCAUUGACUUUUUUAUGAGGACCCGUGGGAGGAAGAAAUGUUUCUCAAGGCUAAGUAGCGAGAAUAACUAUGCUUCUUUGGGACUGUUCUCCAUUUUGUUCGUGGACUCUUGGAACGUGUAAUGGCUGGCUUC